CUACGGGUUGCACCAGUGAGGAAUAUUGGACAAUGGGCGAAAGCCUGAUCCAGCCAUGCCGCGUGCAGGAAGACGGCCCUAUGGGUUGUAAACUGCUUUUGUACGGGAAGAAACACCCCCACGUGUGGGGGCUUGACGGUACCGUAAGAAUAAGCAUCGGCUAACUCCGUGCCAGCAGCCGCGGUAAUACGGAGGAUGCAAGCGUUAUCCGGAAUCAUUGGGUUUAAAGGGUCCGUAGGCGGACAAUUAAGUCAGAGGUGAAAUUCUGCGGCUCAACCGUAGAACUGCCUUUGAAACUGGUUGUCUUGAAUCGUUGUGAAGUGGUUAGAAUGAGCAGUGUAGCGGUGAAAUGCUUAGAGAUUGCUCAGAAUACCGAUUGCGAAGGCAGAUCACUAACAAUGUAUUGACGCUGAGGGACGAAAGCGUGGGGAGCGAACAGGAUUAGAUACCCUGGUAGUC
rnacentral:rRNA from 1 species